AUUUAUAUAGUUUAAAAAAAACCUUGCAUUUUCAUUGCAAAAUUAAAAAUCUUUUUUAUAAAUA
rnacentral:tRNA from 1 species